AUCUUGGAAACAUUUUGGGCUCCUCCCCACCACUCCCACACCCGCCUUUUUUGUGUUCUUUUUCAUUAAAAGUCUGAGAGACUUUUCCCUGUUCCCCAGGUGGAGCAGAACAAACCUGUUAACAUCUUUAAGGUGUUGGGCCCAUACUCCAAUUAUCCAGACUAAGAGACUUCACAUUUGAUCUGAAAAUGUUCAACUCUGCAGACAUGGUCUUUUCACUGGAUAAUUUAUUUUAUGAAAAACCAGAUAUGAGACAAAGGUGUCUGGAAAAUGAAGAUCAUAAGACUUGGUUUAUUGCACCUGCUCCAGCUAUUGCUGAAAUUCCAGCUGCAGAGGAAUUACAGAGGGAACUGGAAAAAAACUCAGCCAACACUCCCAUGGGUAGAGUAUCAUAGAAUAGAAUCACAGAAUCAUUGCAGCGGUUGGAAAAGACAUUUAGAAUGAUCAAGUCCACCCCUAAACCUAACAUUGCAAAGUUCAACUAAUGUUGGGCAAUAUCAGGUGUUACUUGACAUUGAUUUUAAAUUACUCAACAAAUAAUUAGUGUGACAGAUCAUUCCUCUUUUGCUGUGAAAAAUGAAAUAUUCUAGGUAUGCAAGUAGAGACAAUGUAUUUGAGUUGAGAAUGAUGGUGUUAGAUGUGCCAGGAGCAUAGCAGUCCUCUUUAGGCAUAUACAUGCCACAAGUUUACUGUGCAGAAAUGUACAAGGUGAGAAGUAUAAUCAAAAUUUCAGUUACUGCACAUUGUUUCAUGAAGCAUUGUAACGCAGUGGGAAGUGCUGUAAGAGCAUAACGUUGUCAUGUGGAUCUUAUGGCCUGUCUGCCACUCAAGGAGCAGAGAGUUUAUAUGAAACACACUUUUUUCUUCCCCCUUUUGGAGCUUUAAUCAAAUUGUUCAGGCGGCCAAAUUUGAAUUUGGUCAUUAAUUGCUGCUAAGUGGCGUAUUCCUAGACAUUCAGGAUUAUCUUAAUGAACUGUAUUUUAAACAAUGUCAUUGCUUUAUCUUUGUCAGCUAGAUUUGUGCAUUUCUUAGAUGUCGU
rnacentral:lncRNA from 1 species